rnacentral:piRNA from 1 species
UAGAAAGUUGAAUUCAGAUGCUGGAGAAC